GACCGCAUGGCGCAACGGAUAGCGCGAUUGAUUUCGAAUCAAGAGGUUGUGGGUUCGAAUCCCACUGUGGUCU
rfam:Amborella trichopoda AMTR_V1.0_contig_13173, whole genome shotgun sequence.